rnacentral:rRNA from 1 species
UGGUAAGGUAACGGCUUACCAAGGCGACGAUCAGUAGCCGACCUGAGAGGGUGAUCGGCCACAUUGGAACUGAGACACGGUCCAAACUCCUACGGGAGGCAGCAGUGGGGAAUAUUGCACAAUGGGCGAAAGCCUGAUGCAGCAACGCCGCGUGAGCGAUGAAGGCCUUCGGGUCGUAAAGCUCUGUCCUCAAGGAAGAUAAUGACGGUACUUGAGGAGGAAGCCCCGGCUAACUACGUGCCAGCAGCCGCGGUAAUACGUAGGGGGCUAGCGUUAUCCGGAAUUACUGGGCGUAAAGGGUGCGUAGGUGGUUUCUUAAGUCAGAGGUGAAAGGCUACGGCUCAACCGUAGUAAGCCUUUGAAACUGGGAAACUUGAGUGCAGGAGAGGAGAGUGGAAUUCCUAGUGUAGCGGUGAAAUGCGUAGAUAUUAGGAGGAACACCAGUUGCGAAGGCGGCUCUCUGGACUGUAACUGACACUGAGGCACGAAAGCGUGGGGAGCAAACAGGAUUAGAUACCCUGGUAGUCCACGCCGUAAACGAUGAGUACUAGCUGUCGGAGGUUACCCCCUUCGGUGGCGCAGCUAA